AGCGUAGCUGAAGCAGAAAGCAUAUGGAGGAAUGGUGGGUGAGGAGACUCACAUGAGGCAUGGGCCAGACCAGGAAAAGGCCAGAUUUGGCUUUUAUCCUGUUACUGCAACAUUCCAGACAUUACAGAAAACAGACAUGACAGGGCUGUGUGGAGGAGAGACUUCUGCAGCUAGACCUCAGUUGUGCGACCUUGUUUUAAAUUUUUGCAGAUUCUCCGAUACAUUGAUUGGAAAAGCAGCUUCCAGGGAAGGACAAAAAAAGGAGAAUAAGAAGAAAAAAAGAAGAGAGGUGGAAGGAAUUUGGGGAGCAAUCUUGUCACAUUAAAUUUUGCAAAGCAUCGACAUAGUGAGAGCAUACAGCCAUGAAUUUAUUGCGACAUAUACUUCUCCUCGUGCUGGUGCUGAGUAUUUAUUGAAAAGUUCUGUAUUGGGGAAUGAAAAAUGUCAAACAAGAAACUUCAGCUGUUACCUGGAGGGGACGUUAAACGGACGUGCAGGCCCACGAUCCGUUUCCCUCCGUUCCCACCCCAUGUAUAUUAAACAGCCGGCGAGCGGCGGCCGCGCGGCGCGGUGACCUAGCGAGCGCCCGGAGUCCCCGGCCUCCACGCGGGUCCGCGCACGGCCGCCGCCGCUGCUGCCGCCGGCGAUUGCAGAGGGGCGUCUCGCAGCCAGAUUGGUUUCUACAUCCAGGGAUAAUUACCGCACUCUCACUUGCCUAGCGCCCUUAAUGUUUUCAAAAAGUGCAGGGGGAAGAGGGAGAGUGAGAGUGAGCGUGUGUGUGUGUGUGUGUGUGU